UACAGAGGUCUCAAGCGUUGUUCGGAUUCAUUGGGCGUAAAGGGUGUGUAGGUGGCGCCGUAAGUCGGAUGUGAAAUUUCGGAGCUUAACUCCGAAACUGCAUUCGAUACUGCGGUGCUUGAGGACUGGAGAGGAGACUGGAAUUCAUGGUGUAGCAGUGAAAUGCGUAGAGAUCAUGAGGAAGACCAGUGGCGAAGGCGGGUCUCUGGACAGUUCCUGACACUGAGACACGAAGGCCAGGGGAGCAAACGGG
rnacentral:rRNA from 1 species